UUUGACGCCUAAAACUAUGCAAUGUAGUGUAUGAUUCAUCAGCUUUUAGAAAUACGCCGAAAAGUAUGCAAUCGUUAAACAAAAAAAGCCAUUUAACCACAAAGUGGCACUUAUGGAAGUGAUUGCGUCAUGAUCAAUUGUAAAUUAAAACAAAACGAUGUGUAGAACAAGAAUACGCAAGUUCUGACACAAUUCAACUUAAAAUUCCAGCUAUUCAGCCUUUGUCUCUUGCCACUAAAACACAUUCCAUAGUUUCAUUGCACGAAACUUUUGCAAGCUUUAUGAUUGUUUUUCUGUUUUUUUUUUAUUUACCAUCACCCGCUCACUAUUCAUUGGGCCCGUAAUUCAACCACUGACAACUUCACUUUAUGAAGUUUUAUCCAUUUCCAAGCAAGAACUGCCGCCAAACUCUGGCACAAGCGAUCGAGCAAAAAUUUCAAUAAUUGACUCCGUUACGACCAAUUGCAUUGGACCAAAUCAACCAAAAACUGGCUACAACACACGUCCACAGCAGUACAGUGAAUAAUAGUACUCAUAUUUCCAUUCAUAAGCGCCCACAAACGCAAUGGCCAAUGCUUAUUGGGAAGCAAGAGGUUAGGUCGGCGUGUCACAACAACAAGCGUUGUUGUUCCGCGCUUCAAGACCUUUCGUACUUCGAUUCUUUCACAGCCCCCCCGGGCGGGGGGGUUCGCGCUUGGUGCCCCCCCCCUCCUUGCCAUAGUUUUGCAAUGGGUGAAUUUGAAUUUAUUGACUUUACUGCAAAAUUAUACGAAUUAUGCAUGCAAUAGCCAUAAAAGACUAUGGGCACAUUCUGGUACUAGGGCUAGGAAGAGGGUCCAUGGUUUCUUCGUUCGUUCGUUCUCUGGCUCGUUUUGCCGUUUUUUUUUUGUUUGUUUAUUUUUCUCCUUUCUUCUGCUAGUAGUUCCCAGUAGCAGCUUCCGUAUUGUUCAUUCCUUACCGUUUUCUGGGGAGGUUCUUUUUCUUUCGAUAGAGUCCUAGCGAGUCUUUCUGCCAGUCUAGGAGUAGUGUCCUCUAGACAAAUAAAACCUAACGACACGACACACAUACAGACCCCCCCGGAUCGUGGAAACGAAUGGGCAUGGGCAUGUUUGUCUCUAUGCUCGAAAGCACACAAAAACAAACAGGACACAUUUGUUGGCAAUUUGUUAAAUAUAUUUCCGUCCGCUCGGUUGUUGUUGGCCGAUCGUUUCUCGUCUCGUGAUUCUGUCUGGUUGUUCCUGCCCGGGGGAGGAAAGGGCACCCAACUUUUCAAAGAUUGUUCCCUUUGUUUCUUGUGGUGGUCCUUCAUGCCAUGUCUCGGCAAAACGAUUCUGUUCCAUUUUGCUAAGCUAUGUAACUCUUUCCGCGUUCCAAAACGCGGUCGAGAGUUUGAGGUCCAUUCGGUCAAGUCUUAUCGCUUCUGUCGCAUCUUGGGUUUUGCAACCCGAUCUCACCCGCUUCCCACUUCGGCACUUGCUCACACUCAAUGGACAAGCAAAAAAAAAACCAACGAAGACAAUCCAAAAGUGCCAAAAGUUAAUGGUCCUAAGCGGGAGAAGCAAUUGAAGGAAGUAGAGAGAGAGAGAGAGAAGAAAAAAAAUGCUGGACAUUGUGCCGACAAGCUCGAAAGCCGCCAAAGAGUUGUGGCGUUGAUAGGCGACAAGAUUGGCAAUACAGUUGUGUGAAUUCGUUCCCAAAAAAAAAAUCCGCGCAAAAGGCAAUCCUUUGUGUUCUCUCUGUGCGACCUUUUUCGUUUCAGUUCCUCCGCCCCAAUUAUUAGAGUGAGUGAAGUGAGUGUGCAAUAAUAAGAUAAAUUUCUUCCCUGCUUGUGUGUGUGUGUGUGUCGAGACUAAUUUAAUAUCGUUUCGGUCGUUUCGCCACCAAAAAUGGCCGCGAUCAUCAAUCAGCCAGAAGCGUCAGGGUUUUAAGGGUGUGAAGUUCUGGCUGGGACACUGAAGACACUGAUCCAGCAGCAAAGACGAAACAAAAGGUAAAAAAGUCCUUUUUUUGGAGAAUUUUCCACCCACAGACCUGAAGUGGAUUUGAACUUAUUUCCCGCCUGUUUUUUGUUGUUUAAUUUUAAGACAGUCUUGUGCAGUGAGUUUAGAUUAAAACUUAACCUGAUCUCAUUGGCUUUCCUCCGGGUUUUGUAAAGCAUUUCUAUUGGAGAAACAAACGUGUGGUAAAUGGAUGAGAGUGCAUCUUGUGUGUGUUUUUUUUUUCGUUGGUUAUAUUUUCUUUCCCCUUUUUCGAGCAUUGCCGAUUGCAUUGUGCAAUCGUCCGAAAGGUGAAUGCGUGCAGCAAUUUGCUCCAACAAAACAAAUUGACUACGGUACGGGGUACGAGAAACCACUUUAAUGUAAUCAUUCCAUCGACACCGUUUUUUAUCCCCCGUUUGUGGUAGAAUGCUACAUUUGUGGUACAUGGAGUUGGGAAAAUCGAUUCCAUCCUUUCGAGUUGGAUUGAAGGGAGAGCAAUUUUAAUUUUCCCUUCCUGCCGGACGAGUUGAUUGGGUCGAUAAUAGUAAGAUAGAAAAAAACGGUUUAAAAUUAGUUUUCUUUUUCAGUUCUUGUAUGGUGUGUUAUAAAAAAAUCUUGCAAAAAACUUUGAAACGUUGUUUUGUUUAUAAUUUAUUUUAAACUAGUUUUAUUAAAUAAAAAUAUAUAAGUUUAAAAGAAAUAUACAAACAAUUUUAAAAUCUUAAGGAGACUUUUCAAAUUUAUAUGUAAACUCUACACAAAACACAAGAAUUCACACCUGACAACAGAGAACAGUUUUUGGCUCAGGUUUUGCUUCCAACUUUUCGCUCUAUAAAACCGAAAAGGUUCAAUUCACCUUCUCUUCCAUCGGGUUAUUAGUGGAAAUUGCAUCGUCGUAUAAGAUGGCCAACAAAAAAAAACAAAAGGAUUUUUUCCAAUGGCCAGGUAAAACUGGCCACAGAAUGGCAUUGAAGCGAUUGUACUUUUAUUUCACCGCAUUUUCAUCACGUGGAUUGAACCACGACAGAAACAAAGAGAACCCUUUUUCUAUCGUUCUCGCAACAGUUUUAACGGAUCAAGUUAGCCGUCUCUUCCACUUCUCUUCUCUUCCACUGAAAUACAUCGUGGUUGGCUGGGUGUGUUGAUGUGUUUAGGGGAAAUUUUUACUUCACUUUAGUAACCGAUCGCGGGCUACUGUGUACCUACCGGGGGUAACGUGUGAAGAAGAUUGCCAUGGCAUUCACUAUCGAACUGGUGGAACGAAUUGUUUUGAUUAUCUCCAUUGUGGAAACGAACAGGAAAUCCUUACCAGAUCAAAACAUCCAACAGCAGUAAAGUGCAUCCGCGUGAAAAAAAAGCAGUUGCAAUGGAGAAUGAAGAAAAACGCGAACUGAACAAAACGCUGAUGUAGCUGGUAAGAUUAUUGGUCAUUAUCAAAAAAUUGCACUUCCGCGCGGAAUCGGAUUGGAAGUCCAUAAGAAUGUGCAUUUUUUUUAGUUUGUUUUUUUGCAUAACCUUUCCUUUGCUGUUGGGAGGCAAGUGCAAGAGUGUUUGGACGGAUACGGAAUGUGAAUCUCCGUCGUUGAUUGGAUUCAUCCGUAGAAGGGAUUAUUCAUCCAUUUUUUUCCAUGCAACGUGGCGCAGUGCUUACAUUGUCAGUGAUUUUUUUCCCUGAAAGUAUGAUAGUUUCUGGUAAAU